AUGUUCGCUUCAGCAGCACAUACACUAAAAUUGGAGUGAUACGGAGAUUAGCAUGACCCCUGCACAAGGAUGAUAUGCAAAUUCGUGAAGCGUUCCAUAUUUUU
ensembl:snRNA U6 U6 spliceosomal RNA